UAAUAAGUGUUUGUUAUUGUAACAGUCAGAAAGGAUUUCUACCGAGCUUUCUAAUGUUUAUGCCCAAAUGGGGAGGGUGGAAACAUCAUUAAUAACUGGUUCCCGAGAGCCAAGGUCAGCUAUCCCAAGCCAAGCUGCUAAAGCAGCAGCACCCAUUCCUUGCCCUGCCUUCUCGGCCAUCAUGUAUGAGUUUAAAGCCAAGUCAUAUAGAGCCCUGAGAUCUGACAUGAGCAUUACUAUCAUCUUAGAUUGUGAAUCUUUGACAAGGCUCAGCACCCCAAAUUUAAAGGAGUUUAUUAUAACAGAACCAUGAAAAGACCCAGGACUCUCACCCCAGCUGCCACUCCAGCCUCUGCUGUGUUUUUUACCCAGCCCUUAUGACAUUGCUCUCUAAAGGCCUAAGAAUUCUUAACCACAUGUAAAUAUCAGAAAUCCUGUUACAAGAAAAUUCAGGUUUUAGAAUGGAAAUCUUGUUUGUAUUACUUUGAUUAUAUUUCCCAUAAAUGUAUCUUAUUUUAUACAGUCUGCUUAUACCACCACCCCAUCCCCCUAUCCCCUAUCCCCUGCCCAGGAAUUUAAUAAUAAUGGUUUAGACAUAAUAAACACUGAGAAGCACAGAAACUGGGAGCCAUGGGGAAGGGGUGAUGCAUUUCAAUUUAAUGACCGAAGAAGACAGAAAGCAACAUAGGAAAUGAAAAGGAUCUUUUGGAUGUGUCCUCAGUCACAGCCAGAUCAGGAAGCUGAAAGCGGACUUUACAAAUCCCUUUAAACCUUAUUCUGAUUCUUAAUAUGCUUAGGAAGAAAAUUCAGGCUGUUGCUAAGGAUUGAUUGUUGCGCAAGGCUGAUCCAAAAGAGCAUGAAAUUAUUUGCAUGCUUAAAGUGAAGUUUUAUCCCCACUCUAACUUGGCUUCUCCUGUUGUAUUUUGGUAAGGACUGAAUAAAAGUGGAAGGACAGUUUGAGGACCCGGGUGAAAGGCGGGUAUGGGGAGAUCUCACAAGGUGAGAGGCUGUGAGAAGAGAGGGAUGAACCUGUGUAGGGGAUGAAAGUUAAGAUAUAGUGGUGAAAGAGGAUUUUGUAGUUUCUGCUUCUUCUUUUUUUUAGUUUCUUUCUUUUCUUUGUUUCUUGUAGAUUAGUUUGUUCUUUUAAUUACAUUGUGAAAACUUUAAUAAAAACAUUUCUUCUUCUUCUAUUAUAAUUGUUAAUGCUGUUGUUGUUGUUAGGCUUCUUUGACGGUAGUACCAUCUUCACAUAGUCCAAUCUGAUUGGCUACAUAACAAUGUUGCUAAUCCCAGAAAGAGCAUAUUUUAAAAGGAAUUGUGCUGAAGUUGGACACAAUCAGAUUUCUUUUGUCGGCAGGUCAAGACACACCUGUUUGCCAAAGCUUUUGGAAAAGCAGAGUGAGAUAGUGUUUUAUGCUGAUUAUCCCUUCUCUACUGUAUUGAUGUGAUAUGGCUGUCUAGGACUAGGGGUUGUGUGUCCCAGAAACAGAAAGUGCUGCCCUGCCCUGCCACUGCUGCCAUAACAUUACUCACUCUGCCAUCUCCACCGCUGGCAGGGAAACAGCACUGGCAUUAGUGCCAAUUUCCAGUGAACCCUCUGCAAGGUUUCACAUGAUUUCAGCAAGAUCUUGUGAGAUCUUAGGAGAAAUUGGUGUUGCCUCAGGGGCUUCUGCUGCCUGAAGAGGUAGCUUCACUGCACCUAAUAGGUGGGCCAGCCCUGUCCAGGACCCUCACAAUCUGGAAAGCAGAGGCCAUGGAACAUGUCUGCUUUUGUAGAGGCUAUGCUUUGGAAUCUCUGCAUGACAAUAUGUGGUGGAUAUAUGCAAAGUAUUUCAGCUUCCAGCGCAUAUCACUAGACUGUCUCCAUAUGCCUCUCCAGUGGAAAGCUGACACUUAGCAGUCCUUAUUGUUAUUGUGAUUUUCCUGCAAGCAGACCACUGAAGUGUUGGGAAUUCUUGACUCCCACCUUCACCUUUCCACAUCAUCAUGCAUUCCUCCAUAUCUUGCUAUGGAAAAGACAGACUUUCCCACUUCUGGUUCAUGUAUUGCUUGAGAGUGAGAAUGAAGGAGACCUUAUCAGCCCGUAAUCCCUGCACUGGGCUGCUGCCAAGUUCCCCAACUCCCCAAGGACAUAAUUAUCCCUUCACAUUCUCUUAUUUUACCAAACUCUAUAUCCACUUUAAUCCUAGCACUGAAACUGGCCCAUCACCUGGAGAUGUCGUGAGGUGGUUGGACAGCUAAACAGGCAUGUCAGGUCCUUCCGACUGCAGUGUUUGUCUUGGCUGCUGUUUGAUGUUGACCCAUCAGCCAUCUCUGCCAGGAAGGGAUUGGAAACCUACAGGAUGUUGCUGUGAAGCUAACACCGAAACUACUCCUUGACAGAACUGAUGGAUUUGAUGUUGACUGAGAAUUGGGAGAAGGGAGGAGGAUAAGACUGGAUAAAAAGAAUGGGUGCAACUGAGGAGGUUAAUCUAGCACUGCCUUAAUGGGAACUGGUAAACUCCCCAUCACUAUCUUCAAGCUGUGAUCUCAGGAAGCCUCAGGCGAGUGGGAAAGUUUGUUAGGGAGCAUCCCAGGAACAAAGGGGUAAAAUUAAAAAGUGAAAUGUGAAUAAGGCUGGAGGGGAUUUGUACUAGCAAAAAUGAUAUGAUGCUACUGUAUAUAAUUCAAAGAGAGAGAAGAAUGCAUUUUGGAAAGUACCUCAGUAUCGUUUCUAAACUGGAAAGCGUCCUUAACUCAUUGUUAAUCUGGUGGAUGGGGAAAGUGAAUCACUAUGAUUAUGCCAACAUAGGGAAGGUGUAGGGAACCUUUGGUGCUCCCAAUGUUGCUGCAACUUUCAUCAUCCGUGGCCACUGGCCACAUGCACUGGUUAUCUCCUGCUUGGACUACUGCAAUGUGCUCUAUAUGGAGCUACCUUUGAAGGUGACUCAGAAAUUACAAUUAAUCCAGAAAGCAGCAGCUAGACUGGUGACUGGGAGCAGCCGCCGAGACCAUAUAACACUGGUCUUGAAAGACCUACAUUGUCUCCCAGUAUGUUUCCGAGCACAAUUCAAAGUGCUGAUGCUUUAAAGCCCUAAAUGGCCUCAGUCCUGUAUACCUGAAGGAGCGUCUCCACUCCCAUUGUUCAGCCUGGACACCGAGAUCCAGCAUGAAGGGCCUUCUGGCGGUUCCCACACUGCAAGAAGUGAAGCUACAGGGAAUCAGGCAGAGGGACUUCUCGGUAGUGGCACCCACCCUGUGGAAGGCCCUCCCAUCAGAUGUUAAGGAGAUGAGUAAUUAUAUAACAUUUAGGAAACACCUGAAGGCAGACCAGUAUAGGGAAGCUUUUUUAGGUUUAAUGUUUUACUGUGUUUGUAUACAUGCUAGAAGCCACGCAGCGUGGUUGGGUAACCCAGCCAGAUGGGUGGGGUACAAAUAAUUUAUUAUUAUUUAUUAUUAUUAUUAGGGCUGACAAGAGUUGUAGUUCAGCAACAUAUGGAGGGUCAAAGGUUCCGCACAUCUGACACUGGGAACAGGACUGUGUACAGGAAAAAUAAUAAUAAUACUUGGAUCUGAGAGAGUCACCUCAAAGCCUUCGCUGAAGCAAUUGUCUUUUCCAUUGACAACAAUAGAAAAGAUAAUAAACUACUUAACACUUUUUAUUUUUUUCAGAGUUGAUAAAUUUUCCAGACAUAGUAAGGAGGUGGAUGAAGGAGCGUGAUGAUUGGCCUCCAAUACUUGCAUUUCUCACAAAUUAAAGUAGGGGCCAUUUUUUAAAAUGUACAUGUACUCUAUACGAAAAUCAGAACUGCUUUGUUUGAUCAGACCAUAGCAAAACUGUUAAUUUGAAGUGCUAGUUCACUACCCCUCUCCCAACAGUGCCCAGUCAGCCAAACACGUCUGGAAAGCUCAGAAGCAGAUCAUCAUCUAUUUAUAAACCACUUUCCCACAAAAUUUUGCCAUAAGUGGCUCACAACAUAUCCAAGGAACAAUAAGUUAAACAAUUUUUUUAAAUUAGAAAAAAUAGAAACCAUCAUAAUAUCAAUAAGUAAACAAACAAACAAAACCCAAACCAUAUGACAUUGGAGAAAACAAUACCGAUAAGGUAAUGUAAAUUAACAUCAUAAACUAAUAAAAGAAACAAUAAUAAAAGAGGAUGGUGCAGUGCGAUCACUCCACCACCUCGUCCCUCUCCUUCUUAGUAAGUAUAAGUGACUCAGUGGUCAGAAGGUCAAGAAAUGCCACUGCCCCACCAUGCUAUCCACUACUGGGAUAAAGGGAGCUAAUAAAUAGGUGCCAUGGACACUACUUUCCCUGAGGCCUAACAUUUCUCAGGAGCCUACCUACCUGAUCAGGGGAAUGAGAAUGGAAAAGCUCUAUUUCCUGGCCGAUUCUACUCUCUAGAUGCCCCUUUCUCUCUUUGAAUUACUCUGCCUGCCUUGCUAUCUCUCCUAAUUCUUUUCCUAUGAAUAACUGCAUGGUUCAUACCUGCUUCCAGAUUAUAUAUUAACUGAGCCAGACUUUUCAAGUGCUCUCUCUUUCUGAAUACCAUUCAAAGAGUUUAAAGCCCCACACUGAGUGGCUUUGAAUCCAUCUGUGUCUGGGUGUAAGGUGUUGCCAAGAGCAUUCUUUGCAUCCUUCCACCAUGAAGAAUGACCAUGAUGUCCCAAGAAAGACCCAUGAACACCCUUUAGAGUCUCCACUGCAUACACAACAUUGUUUAGCAUCCCCAUUAAUACCUCUUUGCAUACUAGUGAAGGACAGUAUUCCAAGAGGCCUCUGCCCUAGCAGAUACCUCAUUACAAUCAAUUUUGCAUCUUUCCUCCUCUAGCCUCAACAGGAGUGCUAUUAAACAUAGUGAUGACUGGUGCCCAUUUGAACUGGUGGGGCAUAAAUUAGGGAGGCAAAUGGUAGGUAGAGCCAGAGACAAUGACAGGCAGAGCCAGUGAAUUCUAGUUUUGACCCAAUCCUCUUCCCUAUUGUGCUCUUCAAAGGUAAAACUGAGACUAAGGAAGGGAAGCUGACAGGCAAUACCACCCCACACCCCCCAGACUGUUUGUAAGUAAGAAGGCAGGCAAGCGGAGCAGUGCCCCAUUUGUUCUAACGAAG
rnacentral:lncRNA from 1 species